rnacentral:misc_RNA from 1 species
AAAAAAAAAAAAAAGGAAAAACAGGUGAAGAAGAAAUUCUUAUGAAUUGUUUAUAUAUAUCUAACAAUUCUUUUUCUUUUUCUUACAGAAUGAGGGUUUGUUCUGAAAUUUGAAAAGAUUUAACUCUGAUUUCAAUGUGAAUUGUAAUUGCCAGAAUUGAAAUGUUUCUUUACGUUUCAAAAGAUUCUGACUUCUAUCCAGUUAGUUGGUAGGAAUUUAUUGGCCACAAAUCAGGCAUUACAAGUCAUUAAGUGAAGCAAAAUAAAUUGUCAGACAACAAUCGAUAAUUCUAGAAUAAGAUAUUGAGCAAACUUAUCAAAGUGAGCAUUACAAUUUUG